rnacentral:tRNA from 1 species
CGGGGAGGCGGCCGGAGCGGCGGGGCCGCCCUCGGUGGCCCCGGCCUCCGGCGAGGGGGCCGGCUCCGGUUCGGGCGCCGGCUCCCGGCCC